CCCUUAGAUGUCCGGGGCUGCACGCGCGCUACACUGAAAGAAUCAGCGUGCUAAAACCAUUGUCGAAAGGCAUUGGUAAACCCAUUAAAAUCCUACGUGAUUGGGAUCGGGAAUUGCAAUUAUUUCCCUUGAACGAGGAAUUCCCAGUAAGUGUGGGUCAUAAGCUCGCGUUGAUUACGUCCCUGCCCUUUGUACACACCGCCCGUCGCUGCCCGGGACUGAGCCGUUUCGAGAAAAGCGGGGACUGCUGCUGUCGGGGCUUUCGGGCCUUGGCUUCGGUGGAAACCGCUUUAAUCGCAGUGGCUUGAACCGGGCAAAAGUCGUAACA
rnacentral:rRNA from 1 species